CUUCAGCCCUAGGUGAUAGAGAAUUGGCAGACUGCGGAGGGCGUUAGAAAGCCCAAAAUCCCGGGCGCCGGGAGGCAAUAAGAGCAGAAGAUGAAGGGCUUGGGGUCAGGGAUGAGCCUGAGGUCCUAGGGGAGGACAGAGAACCAGAAAAUGAGAGCGGAGUAGGCUCUUUUAGCCUCUUGGAGAGAAGUGGGUCGAGAUUAGGAUGGACCCGGCGGGGGCCUUUCUUCUUUAGGUGCAGGGAUUUGCCCAGAAGACCAGGGCUAGGCGACGCCCAGCAGGCUGCCCCGAGUGCCGCCGGGUCAGUCAGGACCCUGGAAGGAAGGAGCCCGCUAUGUCCGAGGUGCAGCAUCCACCUGACGUCACUGGAGCUGGGAAAAGACACUUUCCUGGACAGCCUGGGACGAAAGCAGUGGCCUUCCAGCACAGCCACCUACCGCAGCCUGACAGAUUGAUGUAAGUAAGGUGGAAACAGUCUGUUCCUGGCCUUGUCCAACCAGGGGAGGAGGAUUGAGAAAUGUGUCUGGCGUUGGUGCUGCAGGAGAAUGCAUAAGUAGCCAAUUCACUUACUGGAAAAGAAAUGACCUAAUCUGCCAAGUGGCCUGCAUCUUAAUGGGCAGACCAUGCGGCAGAGUGGGAGGGCCAGCACAGGGCCUAGCCCAUGCCCUGGGUGGGGUCUGGGGGAUCGAAGGCCCUUGCGCCUUCAGCCUCACACCCUGUCCAGCAGGAGCAGAGCCCCUUUGAAAGCAACAGUGGUUCUGAAAGUGCCACUCUUCAAGCCAAGAAUGCCCCUGCCAGAGUCAAAUGCACCCAAGAAGGAGUGAG
rnacentral:lncRNA from 10 species